rnacentral:rRNA from 1 species
AAUAGAUACCCGGGUAGUCCACGCUGUAAACGUUGGACACUAGGUGUGGCGGUCUGAUCAACGACUGUCGUGCCGAAGCUAACGCAUUAAGUGUCCCGCCUGGGGAGUACGGCCGCAAGGCUAAAACUCAAAGGAAUUGACGGGUCCCCGCACAAGCGGCGGAGCAUGCGGCUUAAUUCGAUGCAACCCGAAGAACCUUACCUGGGUUUGACAUCAUGGGAAAAGCCGUGGAAACACGGUGUCCGUAAGGGCCCAUGACAGGUGGUGCAUGGCUGUCGUCAGCUCGUGUCGUGAGAUGUUGGGUUAAGUCCCGCAACGAGCGCAACCCUUGUCAUUAGUUGCUACAUUUAGUUGAGCACUCUAAUGAGACUGCCGGUGACAAACCGGAGGAAGGUGGGGAUGACGUCAAGUCCUCAUGGCCCUUAUGGGUAGGGCUUCACACGUAAUACAAUGGCGCGUACAGAGGGCUGCGAAGGGGUGACCUGGAGCCAAUCCCUGAAAAGCGCGUCGUAGUCCGGAUUGCAGU